rnacentral:rRNA from 1 species
AUUGAACGCUGGCGGCAGGCCUAACACAUGCAAGUCGAACGAGUGGCGGACGGGUGAGUAAUGUCUGGGAAACUGCCUGAUGGAGGGGGAUAACUACUGGAAACGGUAGCUAAUACCGCAUCCCAUCAAAUGUGCCCAGAUGGGAUUAGCUAGUUGGUGGGGUAACGGCUCACAAAGGCGACGAGCCCUAGCUGGUCUGAGGGGUGGACCAGCCACACUGGAACUGAGACACGGUCAAGACUCCUACGGGAGGCAGCAGUGGGGAAGAUUGCACAAUGGGCGAAAGCCUGAUGCAGCCAUGCCGCGUGUAUGAAGAAGGCCUUCGGUUUGUAAAGUACGUUCAGCGGGGAGGCGUUACCCGCAGAAGAAGCACCGGCUAACUCCGUGCCAGCAGCCGCGGUAAUAC